rnacentral:rRNA from 1 species
CCUAGGGCGGCAGCAGUGGGGAAUAUUGGACAAUGGGCGAAAGCCUGAUCCAGCCAUGCCGCGUGUGUGAAGAAGGCCUUCGGGUUGUAAAGCACUUUCAGUGGGGAAGAAAGCCUUGGGGCUAAUACCCUCGAGGAAGGACAUCACCCACAGAAGAAGCACCGGCUAACUCCGUGCCAGCAGCCGCGGUAAUACGGAGGGUGCGAGCGUUAAUCGGAAUUACUGGGCGUAAAGCGCGCGUAGGCGGUCUGAUAAGCCGGUUGUGAAAGCCCCGGGCUCAACCUGGGAACGGCAUCCGGAACUGUCAGGCUAGAGUGCAGGAGAGGAAGGUAGAAUUCCCGGUGUAGCGGUGAAAUGCGUAGAGAUCGGGAGGAAUACCAGUGGCGAAGGUGGCCUUCUGGACUGACACUGACGCUGAGGUGCGAAAGCGUGGGUAGCAAACAGGAUUAGAUACCCCAGUAGUC